rnacentral:rRNA from 1 species
CCUACGGGGUGCAGCAGGCGCGAAAACUUUACAAUGCGAGAAAUCGUGAUAAGGGAACCCCGAGUGCCCGUAAAUUCGGGCUGUCCAUCAGUGUAAAUAACUGGUGAAGAAAGGGCCGGGCAAGACCGGUGCCAGCCGCCGCGGUAAUACCGGCGGCUCGAGUGGUGGCCGCUAUUACUGGGCUUAAAGCGUCCGUAGCUGGGUUGUUAAGUCUCCUGGGAAAUCUACCGGCUCAACCGAUGGGCGUUCAGGAGAUACUGGCAAUCUAGGGACCGGGAGAGGUGAGGGGUACUCCAGGGGUAGGAGUGAAAUCCUGUAAUCCUUGGGGGACCACCUGUGGCGAAGGCGUCUCACCAGAACGGCUCCGACAGUGAGGGACGAAAGCUGGGGGAGCAAACCGGAUUAGAUACCCGAGUAGUCC